CCAUUUCGGACGGAAUGGCAAUCCCCCAUUUUCGGAAAUGGGCCAUUCCUGACCCACCCCCCGGAAUCGGAAUGUCAUUCCCGCUCUUUCACGUAAAAAAAUCAAAAUGACAAAAAAACCCUCAAACCUCUCCCUACCCGAUUCCAACUUUCAGAACCGAAACUCCGGCGACUGUAACAACAAGUUUUUUCACUGCAAACCCGACCAGACCAUAGCAAGAGUCUCCAAAAUACCAAGCCCCAUCAGUAGGAAGGGAAAGAUGGCCAGAAAUUGCCUUCCAAUCCUGAAGAGGUUGAGGACCUACGACGUGAAUUUGCUGCAAAUCCACUGAUUGCAUUCUCUUACAAUGAACUAAAGAUAAUAACAAAGAAAUUUAGGCCAGAUCAUGUGUUGGGUGGAGGAGGAUUUGGAAGUGUUUAUAGAGGAUACGUUUCUGAGGAUUUAAGUAAGGGGCUUCAGCCCCUUCAAGUAGUAGUCAAGGUUCAUGAUGGGGGUAAUAGUUUUCAGGGCCACAGAGAAUGGAUGGUACUUUUGUCUUUGGAGAUUAUUUCUCUAUUUUUCUCUACUAUUAUUUGGAGAUUAUUUCUCUUUCAGUUCUGCUAGGAACUUGGCAGGUUUGUAGGCAGAGGUUAUAUUUCUAGGACAACUCUCUCAUCCAAGUUUGGUUAAACUCAUUGGAUACUAUUGUAAUUUCUGCAUUUU